AUAGCGUAUAUUAAAGUUGUUGCAGUUAAAAAGCUCGUAGUUGGAUUUCUGGGAGGGUGCCAAUGUCCGCUCGUUCGCGUGUGCAGCGGCGCCCUUCCAUCCUUCUGUUAACGUUUCUUGGUAUUCAGUUACUGGUUUCGGGCUCAGAUAUUUUACCUUGAGAAAAUUAGAGUGUUUCAGGCAGGCUUGCGCCGGAAUACAUUAGCAUGGAAUAAUAGAAUAGGACUUUAGUCUCCUUUGUUGGUUUCUAGAGUCGCCGUAAUGAUUAAUAGGGAUAGUUGGGGGCAUUAGUAUUCAGUUGCUAGAGGUGAAAUUCUUGGAUUUACUGAAGACUAACUAUUG
rnacentral:rRNA from 1 species